rnacentral:lncRNA from 1 species
GUUAACUAGUGUAGGAACCUGCACGAUGCGACGGAUAUAAUCAUAUUUGAUUAAAUUUAAUAAUAUAAAAAAUACUUUAAAACUUUUAGAAUAAAAUUAUAAUUUAAUAAAAAAUAACGAAAGAUAAAAAAAAUUAUAAGAGAAAAAAAUGUGUUACAUAAAAAUCGGACUCCUUUGUAUCCUCAUUUAGAGCAUUCUCUACUAAUACCGAUACUUUCGUGAAAUAUCAUAGCGCCUUCAACCCUUUUUCGGCAAGUCCUAUACAUUACAAAUAUAAGUGGUCGACAUCGAGGGAGAAAGGUUCGAGGCUAGGGUUAGAGUUCGACUCACUCGACGUUGACGGUGAGAGCGAGGGCGGUGCGCUUGCGGGCUUGAGGGGAGCAGACGUAGUAGGCGAGGUCGUUGUCGAGAACGCCAUUUGCCGUGCCCACAGACUUCUCAGGCAACGAUUCUUAGAAAAUAGAAACUAAUGAGAGGGAAGUCGAAGUAGCGACGUUACAAAUAAGGAAUUAUGAGAUGGGAAGUCGAAGAUACAUACGUUAUGAAAAAAAAUUAAUAAGAUGGGAAGCUGAAGAGAUAGACGUUACAGAAAAGGAAAGCCGAAGGGACCGCUUAGCCAUUUGGUUCAAAAAAGGGACAAGUAAGGAUGAAAGAUAGGCUGCCACGUAGUAAGAUUAGGGGAAAUAAUGUUAAGGUAUAGAUGUUUCUAAAUCAAACUCCAAUUCGAUAGUUAUCAAUCUAAAG